rnacentral:rRNA from 1 species
CCUACGGGUGGCAGCAGUGAGGAAUAUUGGUCAAUGGGCGUAAGCCUGAACCAGCCAAGUCGCGUGAGGGAUGAAGGUUCUAUGGAUCGUAAACCUCUUUUAUAAGGGAAUAAAGUGUGGGACGUGUCCGGUUUUGUAUGUACCUUAUGAAUAAGGAUCGGCUAACGCCGUGCCAGCAGCCGCGGUAAUACGGAGGAUCCGAGCGUUAUCCGGAUUUAUUGUGGUGACAGGGUGCGUAGGCGGCCUUUUAAGUCAGCGGUGAAAGUCUGUGGCUCACCCAGAGAAUUGCCGUUGAAACUGGGAGGCUUGCGUAUGUUUGCGGCAGGCGGAAUGCGUGGUGUAGCUGU